rnacentral:lncRNA from 1 species
AGUGAACCACCUUUUCAAGCCAAACAAUCUGGAAAUAGGAAGAAAGGUCUUCGAGCAAGCAAAAUGGUUGACAGAGAAAGAUCAGUAGCUAAUGAGACGAUGAACGCAGACAUGUUAGUACGUGCUGCAGAGGAAGAAUCUGAUCCUAGUGUUCUUAGGGAUAUCGAUACGGGAGUAUUAUCCAAUAUGAAGGAAAGUAAAUUGGAUGCAGAUGAAUGCAAAUUGGAUGCAGUAAAUUGGAUGCAGAUGAAUGCAAGCAAAGUGGUUGACAGAGAAAGAUCAGUAGCUAAUGAGACGAUGAACGGAGACAUGUUAGUAUGUGCUACAGAGGAAGAAUCUGAUCCUAGUGUUCUUAGGGAUAUCGAUACGGGAGAAUUAUCCAAUAUGAAGGAAAGUAAAUUGGAUGC